GUGCUGGCUUCAGCAGCCCAUACACUAAAAUUUGAACAAUGCAGAGAUGAACAUGGCCCCUGCACAAGGAUAGCAUGCAAAUUUAUAAAGUGUUUCAUAUUAAA
rnacentral:snRNA from 1 species